UCUUGAUUGCGAAAAUCGGCAAUCAGAAAAUUUGCAAUAAAAAUUUGCGAUACAAAAAUUCCCGAUCAACACUACAUUUAAAGUCAAAGGUAUUGCAGACUUCUCAUUGGCCCACAAGCAAUAAGCAGUGAGGGAUCAUGGGUACUGAUUUUUUUUUUUUUUUUAGAAUAUUC